rnacentral:rRNA from 1 species
CAACGAGCGUUUUAGGCGGACAACCAGCCAUUUAGGCCCCAAAGGAGCGGGUUAACCCCGGGCCAACAUGGGCGGGCCCAUGGGGUUCCACCCCCAAAGGGGGCCCUUAUCCCCCAAACCUGGUCGUAAUUCCGAAUGGGGGG